UCCAAUUAGCCUGACUAACCUGGAAGGAGAGAAGACAACCUGAGGCCAGUAGCAGAAAAAGGAUCAGCCCUCAAAGGCAUCCACAAGUCAUCUGGACAAUAAGGGGAGCCCAUGAUGUGUGUUUCCCUACCACAGAGUGGAUUUGUUGGGAAGUGACUGCCAAUCAAGGACUAACUCAAGAACUGAGAUCAUACUGCAUAUGCUGUUUGGUGACCUGCUCUACUUUCAUUGAAUAAGUCAUUAUGAAUUUUCUUUUGCCACUAGAUACAUGUCAGCAGUGUGAUACGUAGCUUCAAAGAAGGUUCCCAGUGACCUCUGUUCUCUUGCAUCCUCACCAUCAUGGAAUGCACCCCCUGGAGCACGGGUGGGACGGAUUUACUUCUAACCCACUGAAAGUGGCAAGAGUGAUGGGAUGUCAGUCAGAGAUUAGGUCACAAAAUCACUCUGGCUGCUGUCGUGCUCACCUGCUCCUGUUCUCUAGCUUGUUUAUGGUGAUGAAACCAACUGCUAUGUUGUGAACUAUUCUACAGAAAGGAGGGCCAUGGAACGGAGGGAGGUCUCCAACCAGCAGGCUUAGGGAACCUGAAUCCUGCCCACACCCACUUGAGUGAACCUGGAAGUGGAUCGUCGCCAAGUUA